GGGGCGUGCUACACAUGCAGUCGAACGAUGAAAGCCGGAGCUUGCUCUGGCUGGAUUAGUGGCGAACGGGUGAGUAACACGUGAGCAAUCUGCCCUGGACUCUGGGAUAACCCCGAGAAAUCGGAGCUAAUACCGGAUACGACACCUCCCGGCAUCGGGUGGGUGUGGAAAGAAUUUCGGUCCAGGAUGAGCUCGCGGCCUAUCAGCUUGUUGGUGAGGUAACGGCUCACCAAGGCGACGACGGGUAGCCGGCCUGAGAGGGUGACCGGCCACACUGGGACUGAGACACGGCCCAGACUCCUACGGGAGGCAGCAGUGGGGGAUCUUGCGCAAUGGGCGAAAGCCUGACGCAGCAACGCCGCGUGCGAGAGGAAGGCCUUCGGGUUGUAAAUCGCUUUCGGCAGGGACGAAAUUGACGGUACCUGCAGAAGAAGCCCCGGCCAACUACGUGCCAGCAGCCGCGGUAACACGUAGGGGGCGAGCGUUGUCCGGAUUUAUUGGGCGUAAAGAGCUCGUAGGCGGCUCAGUAAGUCUGCUGUUAAAGCUCCAGGCUCAACCUGGAGAGGCCAGUGGAUACUGCUGUGGCUAGAGUCCGGUAGGGGAGCGUGGAAUUCCCAGUGUAGCGGUGGAAUGCGCAGAUAUUGGGAGGAACACCAGCGGCGAAGGCGGCGCUCUGGACCGGAACUGACGCUGAGGAGCGAAAGCGUGGGUAGCAAACAGGAUUAGAUACCCUGGUAGUCCACGCCGUAAACGUUGGGCACUAGGUGUGGGAUCCCGUC
rnacentral:rRNA from 1 species